rnacentral:rRNA from 1 species
UACGAAGGGGGCUAGCGUUGUUCGGAAUCACUGGGCGUAAAGCGCUCGUAGGCGGAUCUUUAAGUCAGGGGUGAAAUCCCGAGGCUCAACCUCGGAACUGCCUUUGAUACUGGGGAUCUCGAGUCCGGGAGAGGUGAGUGGAACUGCGAGUGUAGAGGUGAAAUUCGUAGAUAUUCGCAAGAACACCAGUGGCGAAGGCGGCUCACUGGCCCGAUACUGACGCUGAGGCACGAAAGCGUGGGGAGCAAACAGG